rnacentral:rRNA from 1 species
CGUGAGGAACCUGCCUUUCAGAGGGGGACAACAGUUGGAAACGACUGCUAAUACCGCAUGACACAUAGAGAUCGCAUGGUUUUUAUUGUCAAAGAUUUAUCGCUGAAAGAUGGCCUCGCGUCUGAUUAGCUAGCUGGUGAGGUAACGGCCCACCAAGGCGACGAUCAGUAGCCGGACUGAGAGGUUGACCGGCCACAUUGGGACUGAGAUACGGCCCAG